ACCGGGGCUGAGGAGCCUGAAGAGGCUCUCCUGGAAGUCCUCAGGACCGCUAACGCCGCAGCAGUGGAACUGAAGGGAGAAGCGCGAUGAUGAGAGCAACAGCACACAAGAGACUGAGCGGAUUAACAGCCGGCCUAAAGAAAUCUGAAGUGAUGUGUCACCGUGGUCAUGAUGCCGUUCCACAUGGAUGUGAAGACGUCCGAGUUGUUGUGACCUUGAUAGUGACGUUUCAGCUCCCUGGUGAAAUAGUCUCUGUUUAACUGCAGACACACAAACACAGUCAGUUUAGGCAUUGGCCAGCCAAGGGACUGAAGAUGGAAAGAGCUUUGACUAUAAUGCAUAUUUAUACGCAGCAGACACUUGUUCUCCCUGAUGGCGCCGCAGCAGCCCAGGAAGCCGAGCAGGAACAGCAUGCUGC